UACUGAACAACAGACUCCGGAAUCCAUGCUGGAAGAGUGGGGCCUCCCCAGCAGCCUGCCAAAGCCAACCCUUAUAAUCAAGGGCAUCUGUCUACCAAGAUGGGCCUCAUUGGGAACAGCCCAUCCUGAGGCUAAGUGCCCACACCAGGAGGGCUGCCUACAACCAGCAUGGCCUAAAAACUUGGUCCAACUUUUGUCAGCUUCUGAGAAUUUUCUUUAAAAUGGAGGUUUUUAAUGGUCAGAAGGGGAAAGAGUCAACCAGUUUGGGCUCCUCACCAAGUCAGUGUUAAAGGGGAGAAACAACAAUUAAUAAGGACGGCUUUAGAUUAAAAGACACUUAAGAGACAAUAACAGCCAAAGGCCCAAACCCCUUACGCUCUGCACUGGGCCUCGACCCAGGCAGACAACAGGACUCAACAGCAGCACAUUUACCUGAUUCUGGUUGUGUGGCGGGAUGAUGGGGACGCUUGCUCUUGGAACCCAGCCACCAUGCUGUGAGGAAGCCCGGGUCACAUGAAGAGGCCAUGUGUUGGUGUUUUACCCGACAGUCCCAGCUGAGGUCCUAACCAAUAGCCGGCAUCACCCACCAGACACGUGAGUGCAGAAGUCUCUGAGAUGACCCUGGCCCCAGCACUAUCUGAC
rnacentral:lncRNA from 1 species